rnacentral:pre_miRNA from 1 species
CUAAUACUCCCUCCGUCCAAAAAUACUUGUCAUUGAAAUGGAUGUAUCUAGAUGUAUUUUAGUUCUAGACACAUCCAUUUUGAUGACAAGUAAUUCCGGACGGAGGGAGUAUUAU